CGAUGACAGAUGGUUUGCAGUGUAGGAGUGUCAUAAAGAGGCGAAAGAAGUGAGAAAAGAAAAUGUGUUGAACUAUACGAAUAAUUCUUGGCAGCAAUGCACGUUUUUCACUGAAGUCCAACAAUAAGAAGACAAGCAAUGAAUAAACAGAGUAAUGAGUUACUGUGAAAUUUUCACAGACUUGGAAGAGUGGAAUCAAAGUUCAUGAAUUGUUCAAGCAGGCGUAUGGAGAGUCUACAGUGCAGCAAUCUGCCUUGUUCAAGUGGCAAAGUAAUGCAAAUGGGAAGGAGGGAAACAAAAUUAAUAUGACUGGCAGGAUGACAGCAAGAGGGCUUCCACACUGUACUUUCUGAUGAAAUAACACUUGUAUCUGAUCUUGUAAGUAAAUAAGACAACUAACUGUUAGAAUAAUUAAUGAAAAGCUAAAUUAAAAAAAAAUACCUA